ACGCUGAAGCUUGGUGCUUGCCCGAGCGGAGGAGUUGCGAACGGGUGAGUAACGCGUAGGUAACCUGCCUCUUAGCGGGGGAUAACUAUUGGAAACGAUAGCUAAUACCGCAUAAAAGUCGACAUUGCAUGAUGUUGACUUGAAAGGUGCAACUGCAUCACUAAGAGAUGGACCUGCGUUGUAUUAGCUAGUUGGUGAGGUAACGGCUCACCAAGGCGACGAUACAUAGCCGACCUGAGAGGGUGAUCGGCCACACUGGGACUGAGACACGGCCCAGACUCCUACGGGAGGCAGCAGUAGGGAAUCUUCGGCAAUGGACGGAAGUCUGACCGAGCAACGCCGCGUGAGUGAAGAAGGUUUUCGGAUCGUAAAGCUCUGUUGUAAGAGAAGAACGAGUGUGAGAGUGGAAAGUUCACACUGUGACGGUAACUUACCAGAAAGGGACGGCUAACUACGUGCCAGCAGCCGCGGUAAUACGUAGGUCCCGAGCGUUAUCCGGAUUUAUUGGGCGUAAAGCGAGCGCAGGCGGUUAGAUAAGUCUGAAGUUAAAGGCUGUGGCUUAACCAUAGUACGCUUUGGAAACUGUUUAACUUGAGUGCAGAAGGGGAGAGUGGAAUUCCAUGUGUAGCGGUGAAAUGCGUAGAUAUAUGGAGGAACACCGGUGGCGAAAGCGGCUCUCUGGUCUGUUACUGACGCUGAGGCUCGAAAGCGUGGGGAGCAA
rnacentral:rRNA from 1 species